rnacentral:rRNA from 1 species
CAUAGGUUAAUGAGGCGAACCGGGGGAACUGAAACAUCUAAGUACCCCGAGGAAAAGAAAUCAACCGAGAUUCCCCCAGUAGCGGCGAGCGAACGGGGAGGAGCCCAGAGCCUGAAUCAGUGUGUGUGUUAGUGGAAGCGUCUGGAAAGGCGCGCGAUACAGGGUGACAGCCCCGUACACAAAAAUGCACAUGCUGUGAGCUCGAUGAGUAGGGCGGGACACGUGGUAUCCUGUCUGAAUAUGGGGGGACCAUCCUCCAAGGCUAAAUACUCCUGACUGACCGAUAGUGAACCAGUACCGUGAGGGAAA